UAACACAGUACAUAAAUGGACACAAACUCUCCUCACCCAUGGAAAGAGUAAACUUAAUACCUUUUCAUUUGGACCUGCCUGUAUAUAGGGAUAAUACUACAAUGGAACCCCUAGUAGAUGCUCUAUUAGUUUCAUCCCUAAAUGCUGGUGCUGAAUGUAUCCAGGUUUAUGAUGGUGCAACUGGAACUCAGCUGAAGAGUUACCGAGGACUCCCUGUUGCACGCUCUACAUUAUGCUUGGUAGGAAAGGGAGCUCAUAUAGUGACUGCUCAGAGGGAUAAACCUUUCCUACAGGCUUGGGCCAUCCACCAUCAUGAGGCACUACAGAUAAGGCUUGUUGUCCCAGGAAGAGUUGAUGCAAUGGCAGUUAAUUCCACAGGGCCUAAAUACUGUAUCAUUGGUAUUAAGGAAAAAUUGUACGUAUACAAGUUAUUAUCUGGUCGCCUGAUUGGGGUUUCCACCCGUCAUUAUCAGCCAAUCACCCAACUGAUAUUUACUCCAUGUGGUAACUACUUUGCCUCUGGAGGAGAGGAUGGGUUUGUCUAUCUUUGGAGCUUGGCCAGCUUUAUUGAAGCCUUGCAUAAACAUGAUGCUCCUCAGGUGCAACCACAUUUCAUCCUUGGUCAACAUUCUGAUAAGGUAACAGGCCUGGCCAUGCCAUUAUCAGGCAUGAAGGGAUUCCUGGUGUCAUCAUCAUUGGAUCAUACUGCUCGACUGUUUGAUUUGUUGACUGGACGUUCCAUGUACAACCUUGUUACUGCUAGUGAUGUAACCACUGUGGCUUGUAACAGCUUAGGAUCACAAAUAUUUUUGGGUCACUCUGAUGGUACUGUUAAUGUAGUGAACCUGUUACCAGCUCCUCCUCAUGGGGAUGUUCAAGUGAGUAGUAAGGGAGUUGAAUGCCACCCAAAACCUGUGCGAUGUUUAGCUGUUACAGCCUCUGGUAAUCGUAUUGUCUCUGGGGGAGAUGACGGUGAAGUUAAGGUGUGGUCUGUCAUCAAUAAGGCUGCAGGAUUUAUUGGAAAUACCAAAGCUCAUGAUCCACACUUGGCUUUACAGAGGGUAGUCCAUAAUGGCCGUGGGCCCAUCACUAACUUGUCCUUGUUGCACAUUCAUAGAGAGGCUCUAACAGCUACAGAAGUAGACUCAAAGGAGAUUAUUGCCCCAUUCAGUCAAGACCAUUCUUCCCCAUUAGAUGCACCCAUAAUUGUACCAAUUCGAGGACGGGGAAAGGAGCAUCACCAACAAUUUGAUUUGUUUAAUUUUUCAUCAGGAUUAAGUGCCCUACAAAAUACAGGAGGAGAGGGAAUGUCAGAGCUCAGUAAUGAUCAUCAGAGCAGUAUCAACCAACUUCAGGCAGCUAAUACACAGCUCUUCAAGUUUGCCCUCAAGCAUAUCAUUGAUGAAGAAAGGGACUUUUAAAUAACAGUUCCCACCCAGUGUGUUAUCUGAUGAUACUUUUCCAUUAAAUUUACAUUAAUACUUUUUUUUUUCACACCAUCAUUUGUUUGCUACACCUCACUAUUCACAGGUAAGUUUAUAUCCUUUGGCUACAACUUUCAACUUCAGUAACAACUUUCAGAAUUAUGGCUUAUUUUGCCCUUACAAAUUAUAAGAUUUUAUAAAAUGUAAGGGACACCUUCUACAGUAAUACCAAAACAUUCUUUAUGAUGUCGCACCUCAAUUGGAUGCCACGAAGAAAAUAAUAGGUUUUAAGGGGAGUUCAAUUUUCUUCCUUUCUCUCUUCCUUGAGCUGGGGCUACCAGCAAUUGAAACAUCCUAAAUAAUAUUUUAACACAGUCAAACUACUUUCUCCCAAAUACCAUUCUAUCACACCUGAUGUUAUUCCAUAAAGUUUCGGGUCACGUCACAUUCUACUGUGUACAUUAGUAUUGGUCUCUAUAUUCUCUUUUGAUUCAUAUUGCAGUUACAGUCGGAAACCAUAAUCUCUCGCCCAGUUGGGUCGGUGCUGGAGGUUAGUACAGUACAGCGUCCUUUCUGGAUGGGGGGCCCACUCUAACUAUCACGAGGUAACACACACACGAACACACAGUCCUCUUGAUAGUUAGAGUGGGUCCCCAUCCAGAAAGGACGCUGUACUAACCUCCAGCACCGACCCAGGUGGGCUAGAGAUUAUGGUUUCCGACUGUACAUAACGUUCAAACUCACCAUGCUAGUGGGUAGCGCCACAGAAAACAUAAACAUUUGGAAGGGGUAAUUCAUAUGCUGUAUGUUGUUUUAUACGAAUCAUACCAGUGUCCAUGCAUAAAAUCUUAAGUAUGUACAGUAUACUGAUAGUAUUAACGGAGAACUCAAGGUACCUAUAAGUUGAUUAGGAAGUGCUCAAUUGAUACGGACUAGUGAUUAUAAUGGAUAAGUGUGACCGUGUCUGAAGGUCAUGGUAUUUACGUCUGUGUACGAUUAGUAAACAUGGUUACCUAAGGUAUCAGAUGAAAAUAUAUGAGAACAAUGAUUUGGGAAAAGGAUGAAUGUAUCAGACAUAAGUGAAGUGUUGGAAGUGACCCAUAAACUAUACUCCAAGAAAAAUAUCUUAUGUACCUUGGUGUGAGCUUAAUACACAUAGUUACCCCAUGUGACGAACAGUGUAAUGGUUUGUGAAUUUUUUGAACAUGUUAAACAAUUGCAAAGUGUGGGGGAAUGUAGCAUACAUACAGAAUAAGGCAUAAAGUAACUAUAUAGAAGAAAGUGUAUGUGUGGGGGCCAGAAUAAAGAUAUGGUGAUUUGUAAGCAUUAGCACCUGUAGGCCUAGUCGGCGUGAGACGCUGGCCAUCGCCAUCAAUGACGCCCAGCAUCUUAUAUGCGCAGACAUACUGUAGUUGGGGUUAAAUGGGAGAUCAUAAUUGCAAAUAAAAUGUGUUGAGGGGAACAUGGCAGACCGGUAACAUGAAAACAAAAGUGGCAGUUCAGCAAACAACAUGGAUGGUGUGGAGAAAUUUCCCAGGUUCCAAACCCGGAAAAUUUGAAGUUAAUAUCUCUUGGACAUUUUGUCCACACCAGUAGUGGUGCCAAACCAAUGUUAACCAGUAAAACCAAAAAACUA
rnacentral:misc_RNA from 1 species